rnacentral:rRNA from 1 species
UACAGAGGGUGCAAGCGUUGUUCGGAAUUAUUGGGCGUAAAGGGCGCGUAGGCGGUGCGGUAAGUCUGUAGUGAAUCUCUGGGCUCAACUCAGAGUCUGCUGCAGAACUGCCGUGCUUGAGUGUGGGAGAGGUGAGUGGAAUUCCCGGUGUAGCGGUGAAAUGCGUAGAUAGUCGGGAGGAACACCUGUGGCGGAAAGCGGCUC